rnacentral:rRNA from 1 species
CAAUAGCGUAUAUUAAAGUUGUUGCGGUUAAAAAGCUCGUAGUUGGAUUUCUGCUGAGAACGACCGGUCCGCCCUUUGGGUGUGUAUCUGGCUCUUUCUUGGCAUCUUCUUGGUGAACGUUGCUGCACUUGACUGUGUGGAGCGCUACCCAGGACUUUUACUUUGAGGAAAUUAGAGUGUUUCAAGCAGGCAUACGCCUUGAAUACAUUAGCAUGGAAUAAUAAGAUAGGACCUCGGUUUUAUUUUGUUGGUUUCUAGAGCUGAGGUAAUGAUUAAUAGGGAUAGUUGGGGGCAUUCGUAUUUAACUGUCAGAGGUGAAAUUCUUGGAUUUGUUAAAGACGGACUACUGCGAAANCANNNGCCAAGGAUGUUUNCAUNGA